GUGUUCAAAACAUUAGUAUCACCAGAAAAUAAGGUGCUUCAGUAGUAAUCAGAAAAUAAGUUGAAUAGGUCUUUUUUUGUCUUACAGAAUUUUGGAAAUAACAUCUACAUCAGUUACAGCUUGCUUUUUGUUAUUUUUCCCUGUCUGCUGGGAAUUUGAAUCCAGGGCCUCACGUGCCAUGGCCAGUUUGGGUUAUCAAAGCAAGAGAAGUCAUAUAUCUUUUCAUAAGGAGGUUAUCAUUUACCAUUUAGACAGGCUGACCUUUUAUCUCUCUGGUGUGUUACCUGCUUCUACUAAUCCAAACCACAGAAUUCAUUCAUCUCCAAAGUCUCCAGGCAAUAUCCAUUGGGGGAAUCAGCUCUAAAAGGAACCAUACCAAUGAUUUCCAGCCCCUUCAUUCUGGUGACUGAUGACAGAGUGGGAGGGGGAUAUGCUUGCAUAGUGAGUAAAAAAAGUGUCGAUUUACUUUUUGCAAACAUUAUUUGUAUUGUGUAUGUAUUGGGGGGAGUUGGAAAUGUGACCUUCAUUAGAAGUGUCUGGAAGAGAAAAAAUGGAAGAGGUAAGACAAGAAUCAGUUGGUUUUUAAAGAUAUUAAAGUCUUGAAAUAGCAUGCCCAUCUGAGAAAUCUUUAAAACAGAGUUUAUAAAAAUACCCGUUGAUAUAACCACACUAAUACAGAUUUCUUGGCCUGGAGACACUUGUUUAAUAAUAGCUUGUCUCUGAUAUUCCCAGUAGCUACCUCUAUGUAAGGAAAGGAUAGAAAACAUUGACAACAUCCUAAAGGCUCCUGAUCCUACAAAGUUCCAGUAGCAGUGAUGCCUACACUGAAGACUUGAAACUGCACACAGAGUCUGGGGUCACCUCAGGGACAUCUCUUGACGCUGUCCAACCAGAAGUUCGAUGCUUGUUUUGGGGGGUGAAGAAGGAAGCAGACUGUACUAAAGGACUAAAAGAAUUUCAUGUCAA